GGACUACCGGGGUAUCUAAUCCCGUUCGCUCCCCUGGCUUUCGCGCCUCAGCGUCAGGUACGGCCCAAGAAGCCGCCUUCGCCACGGGUGUUCCGACUGAUAUCUACGCAUUUCACCGCUACACCAGCCAUUCCACUUCUCUCUGCCGCCCUCAAGAAUGCCAGUAUGAGAAGCACUGCAUCAGGUUGAGCCCGAGCCUUUCACUUCUCACUUAACAUCCCGCCUACGCGCGCUUUACGCCCAGUAACUUCGGACAACGCUCGCCCCCUACGUAUUACCGCGGCUGCUGGCAC
rnacentral:rRNA from 1 species